UUGUGUGUGAGGAGCAAGUUAAAACAAAAAACGCUUAGGGUGGAAACACGGCAACACUCCUGGGCGUUUUUUGCU
rnacentral:sRNA from 1 species